GGUCCAGACUCCUACGGGAGGCAGCAGUGGGGAAUAUUGCACAAUGGGGGAAACCCUGAUGCAGCGACGCCGCGUGAGUGAAGAAGUAUUUCGGUAUGUAAAGCUCUAUCAGCAGGGAAGAAAUAGCGACCUUUGGGUCGCCAGACGGUACCUGAUUAAGAAGCCCCGGCUAACUACGUGCCAGCAGCCGCGGUAAUACGUAGGGGGCAAGCGUUAUCCGGAUUUACUGGGUGUAAAGGGAGCGUAGACGGCACCGCAAGUCUGGAGUGAAAUCCCAUGGCUUAACCAUGGAACUGCUUUGGAAACUGUGCAGCUAGAGUGCAGGAGAGGUAAGCGGAAUUCCUAGUGUAGCGGUGAAA
rnacentral:rRNA from 1 species